UGGAAGGAAGACCUUUCUCUCUGUCUCUCUCUCUCACGUAUAUAACUCUACCUGUCAAAUAAAAAAUCAAUGGGACUUGAUAGAAAGCCCAGAAAUUGACCCACAAAUACCUGUAAGGUAACCUGCUCAGCAACCAAGAUGCUACUAAAAUUAAGUGGGGAAAUGAUAGUUUUUUUGAUAACUGAUUCUGGGUAAUUGAAGAUUCAUGUGAAAGGAUUAUUGACCUUUUUCUCACUCCAUCCUCAAAAAUUAAAUCAAAUGGAUCAUAGACCUACAUGGGAGAGGUAAAACCAUGGUGUGUCUGGGUGGGGGGAGCAUAAAUAAAUAUCUUUAUGACUUGGAGAGAAUAGAUUUUGUAAACAAGCAUAAAAAAAUUUCCCAUGAAAGAAAAGAUCAUUAAGUUGAACUUGAUUAAAAUGAAGAGCUUUAUUCUGUCAAAAAGCUAGACAAAGCUGAAGCCAGGAACCAGGACUCCACCCAGAUCUCCCACGUGGGUGGCAGGGACACAGCUAUGUGAGCUGUCACGUGCUGCCUCCUAGGGUGCACAUGGUCAGGAAGCCAGAAUUGGGAGCAGAGCCCGGCCCGGAGCCCAGGCUUUCCAGUGUGGGAUGUGGAUGUCCCAACCAGCGUCCUGACUGCUGUGUUAAACACCUGCACGUAAAUAAAUAAUUAUAAAACAUGUCGGGUGGGAAGGAGAUUGGAAAAAUAAAGUGGGACAGAAAGGAAGAGAGCAGAUGGGUUAGGAGGUGGUGGGGUGGGAUCCUGUCACCUCUCUGACAUUCGCCUCUCUCACGUUCGAGAGGAGUUUGGAGCAGUGGGUUCGUCCUGCGAUGUGGGGCAUCAGCACUCCCAAGGCGAAGGUGGCCCUUCCUGCGCAGGGAGGAGUGCGUCUCAGCUUCUCAUGCUGCUAGAGUGUCUGAGAGGAGCUCGUCAUGGAGGAAAAGUUUGUCUCCACUCGUGUCUCGUGGGUUCACAGUCGGAGCUGGGCUGGCCCCACAGCCUGGGGCCUGGUGAGAGGAGUGGGAGGUGGAACCCAUGCACAAGGAGGGGUACACAGAGGACACCGAGCAGACGGAGAGCAGCUGGGCCAGACUCAGCUGGCAAGAACCCCCUCGCAAAGGCGCGGCCCCAGCAACCCACGGACCUCCCACUAGACCCACCCCCUGAACAACAACUGGAUCUAGUCUCCACCCUGUGAGUGCCAUCAAUCCACGACUUUGGGGUUUAAAUGUCAGCUUGAGUUGGGAUGCCCAGUCCCAUUGGAGCUGUAGCAGGGAGCGCAGUUGAGCUCCGAGAGGGACUGGGCCAGAUCGUGAGGCAGGUCGGGAGAUGAUGCAGUGUCUGCUGGUAUGUCGGCCACGUUAGCGUGGCAGGGUGACAGAACACAGGUGAACAUCAAAUACACCUUCCGGAGAGAUGAAUGCUGUCAGAGAUACAGCAGCGUGUGGAUGUCAGGAUUUUUUUCAUAAUAUUCAACAAACUUUUUAGAGAUCUUUUGGGGGCCGGCACUGUGGCAUAGCAGAUGAAGCCGUUGCCUGCAGCACCAGCAUCCCGUAUGGGCGCCAGUUCAAGACCCAGCUGCUUCACUUCCGGUCCAGCUCUCUGCUAUGGCCUGGGAGAGCAGUGGAAGAUGGCCCAGGUGCUUGGGCCCCUGCACCCACGUGGGAGACUCCAAGGAGGUUCCUGGCUUCUGGCUUUGGAUCGGCGCAGCUCCAACUAUGUGGCCAAUUGGGGAGUGAACCAGCGGGUGGAAGACUUUCUGUCUCUACCUCUCUCUGUAACUCUGUAUUUCAAAUAAAUAAAAU